rnacentral:lncRNA from 1 species
AGUGGCAUCAUUGCACUGUGACUGUGCAGGUCCCAAACAGUAUGGACAUGAAUGUCCUCAAGCUGCAUGUUAGCAGGGCUUCUAAUUCCAUCUGCAAGUGAUAGUGUGUGGAGCUUAGUUGCACAGAGCGCAUGUUACUGGAGGAGAUAUGGGUCUGUGUCAUCCUGCAUGGGAAUGAUCCUAAAAACAAAGUGAUCAGUGACUGCUCAGGACUGUGGAAAGGUCACUUGGAGCAGUGGGAAAAGGUCUGGCAGAGGAAUAAGAAGAUACAGGUCUUAGAACAAGCCCUGGGACUUCAACCAAGUCAUUUAACAUCUGGGGCCUUCGUUUAUUUAUCCUCCCAGCAGAUAAAGCAAUACCUGCCCUGUCUUCCUAACCUUGGAGGGGUCAAAAAAGUGAUGGGUGUGAAAGCAUUUUGUAAACUGUAGUGCAAGCAUACGGCAGGGGAGUGAACCAUACUUUCACUAGCGACUUGAAUGAGGUGAUAAAGAAAAGGCUCAGAACUUCAGAAAAUGCAAGAGGGGCUUGACCCUGGAUUGGCAGAGGAAAGCAAUGGUGGGAUCGAUACCUUGGAGAGCCAAGGACCAAGGGGUUAAGGGUCCAUGAGGACAGGCCUGGAUCAUCAGGAAGCUGAGUGUGGUAAGACUGUGGCUUCUUCAGGGAUUGGGUGGAGUACAGUCCUGCCAAGACCACAGUAACUCAGGGCUUGGAGACAUCACAAAGGCAGGGGCUCCUAGAGCUGAGAUAAUCUGGAGAAGAGGAUACCCAUCUACUGCAUUCUGAGAUUGGGUUCGACCUGUAGGUCAUCUUGGAUAGACGUUUUCCAGCUCUUCUUUUUUUUUUUUUUUGGAACAGAGAGAACCUAAUUGACCCUUAAAGUUCCACAGAGCAGAGUUUGCAAAUCUCUGGUUCAGCCUUAUUAUUUAAAUGAGAGGAGAAUGAAAUCCCAGAAAAGAGAUGUGAUUAUGUGAAGGUCACACAGCAAGUUAGUUGCCAAGCUGCAACUGGAACUCAGAAUUUCUGGUUCCCAGUUCUAUAUCUUAGCCUCCCAAACUGGCUAUGUGGACAGGAAAGAACAGAGUAAUGGGGUGAGCUUUAAGGAUGCAAUUUCAUAGGAUUCCAAGAGUCUCAAGGUUAGAGAAGUCGCCUAGUCCACCUCCCCUCUCUGCUUCUCACAGAAGGGUCUGCUGAACACUCUGGUGACAGAGAACUCACCCAACAUGUUCCAUGGCAGAGGCUUUUCAUUAGAUCAAGGUGACAUCUGUUUUACUGGAGCUUCCAACCACGUGUCCCAAUACUGCCCUUAGUCACAGGCAUCCAGGUCCUCUCUCUCAGGACAGCACUUUGAAUAAAUGAGGACAGCUCCCAUCCCCCUUUCUCCCAGUUGACUUUCCAGAAACAUCUCAUAUUGUUGUUGGCUUUCCACCAUUUUUCCUCUUCACUUCCUGGGCCUACUACUACACUGUGUGUCCUCCACUUGGUCUCUUCCUGAAAGCAACACUGUGCACAAUGUUCCUGGGGGCAGACUUAUUAAACCAAGUGGACCACUUCCUUCAAAAAAA